CCUACGGGUGGCAGCAGUGAGGAAUAUUGGUCAAUGGGCUUACGCCUGAACCAGCCAAGUCGCGUGAGGGAAGACUGCCCUAUGGGUUGUAAACCUCUUUUGUCAGGGAGCAACGCCGGCUACGUGUAGCCGGACUGAGAGUACCUGAAGAAAAAGCAUCGGCUAACUCCGUGCCAGCAGCCGCGGUAAUACGGAGGAUGCGAGCGUUAUCCGGAUUUAUUGGGUUUAAAGGGUGCGUAGGCGGAAUGCCAAGUCAGCGGUAAAAUCGCGGGGCUCAACCUCGCUCCGCCGUUGAAACUGGCGUGCUUGAGUGGGCGAGAAGUAUGCGGAAUGCGUGGUGUAGCGGUGAAAUGCAUAGAUAUCGCGCAGAACUCCGAUUGCGAAGGCAGCAUACCGGCGCCCAACUGACGCUGAAGCACGAAAGUGUGGGUAUCGAACAGGAUUAGAUACCCUGGUAGUC
rnacentral:rRNA from 1 species